AAAAAAACUAAAAGAAGACAUGCCAAUGUACAAGUUACAUCAUAAUUUAUGCAUUAUUUCCUGAACAUGACUUAACUCAGUUAUCCCCUGUGGUGAACGCUUCUUCUUGUUCCUUGGGGUUAAUUAUAUUGACAUUUGCACCCACAUCAUCGGCCACUUCAGUUUUUUCGACAUCUUUUGAAGUUCCUAGAGCCGAGCCAUAUGCUUCUUCCUGUCCGAGCCAUAUGCUUCUUCCCUGUCCUGUGUGCCUCAAUUGAUUUCUCAGACAAAGCCCCUACAAUAAUAAUGCAAUAAAAUCCAGAUAACAAAAAAGGUCUUUUAACUUUUCAGUCAUGUUAUAUCACUCACAAUANN
rnacentral:lncRNA from 1 species